AUAUACAUAUAAUACAUAUAAUAAUCAAUAUUUAGUUUAUAUGAGUCCUAUAAUUAAUUCAACUAAAUAUAAUAAUUUUUUCUGAGAGGGUUUAAUUAUCACCAGGUAUUGCCGAGUUCUGUUAAUUAAGAAUUCACAGUGGCAUGAUUGGCCAUUGUGUCGUUCAUUUUCAAUAAAAGUAAUUUGAUGAAUCACAAUUCGAUUAGAUAGUAAUUGGAUAUUGUGUAAACAAUUAAAUCUAUUUUGAUACAUCCUUACCAAUUUUUGAACUUGGAGGAAUCCAUUUUUCAAACAGGGAGUAAACUGCGUACAGGUCCUAGAAAUGAGAAAUGAGAAAAUUAUACAUAAACAACAACAACAAAAAUA